AGGGGUGUAGCUCAGUGGUAGACCACUUGCCCUAUAUGCAUGAGGCCCUGGGUUCCAAACCCCAGCACUGCAA
rnacentral:tRNA from 1 species